rnacentral:rRNA from 1 species
UACGAAGGGGGCUAGCGUUGCUCGGAAUCACUGGGCGUAAAGCGCACGUAGGCGGAUUGUUAAGUCAGGGGUGAAAUCCUGGAGCUCAACUCCAGAACUGCCUUUGAUACUGGAGAGCUUGAGUCCGGAAGAGGUGAGUGGAACUCCGAGUGUAGAGGUGAAAUUCGUAGAUAUUCGGAAGAACACCAGUGGCGAAGGGCGGCUCACUGGUCCGGUACUGACGCUGAGGCGCGAAAGCUAGGGGAGCAA